rnacentral:rRNA from 1 species
UGAGUGACCUGCCGAUUUGUGGGGGAUAGCCGGCCCAACGGCCGGGUAAUACCGCGUACGACCACUCGGGGACAUCCCUAGGUGGUGAAAGCAGCAAUGCGCCGAUGGAGUGCCUCGCGGCCUAUCAGCUAGUUGGUGAGGUAACGGCUCACCAAGGCGACGACGGGUAGCCGGCCUGAGAGGGUGACCGGCCACACUGGGACUGAGACACGGCCCAGACUCCUACGGGUGGCAG